rnacentral:rRNA from 1 species
UGAUGGGCCUGCGGUGCAUCAGCUGGUUGGUGAGGUAACGGCUCACCAAGGCGACGAUACAUAGGGGGACUGAGAGGUUAACCCCCCACAUUGGUACUGAGACACGGACCAAACUCCUACGGGAGGCAGCAGUGAGGAAUAUUGGUCAAUGGACGCAAGUCUGAACCAGCCAUGCCGCGUGCAGGAUGACGGCUCUAUGAGUUGUAAACUGCUUUUGUACGAGGGUAAACCCCGAUACGUGUAUCGGGUUGAAAGUAUCGUACGAAUAAGGAUCGGCUAACUCCGUGCCAGCAGCCGCGGUAAUACGGAGGAUCCGAGUGUUAUCCGGAUUUAUUGGGUUUAAAGGGUGCGUAGGCGGUUUGAUAAGUUAGAGGUGAAAUGUCGGGGCUCAACCCCGAAACUGCCUCUAAUACUGUUGGACUAGAGAAUAGUUGCGGUAGGCGGAAUGUAUGGUGUAGCGGUGAAAUGCUUAGAGAUCAUACAGAACACCGAUUGCGAAGGCAGCUUACCAAACUAUAUCUGACGUUGAGGCACGAAAGCGUGGGUAGCAAACAGGAUUAGAUACCCUGGUAGUCCACGCAGUAAACGAUAAU